UACGUAGGGUGCGAGCGUUAAUCGGAAUUACUGGGCGUAAAGCGUGCGCAGGCGGUUUUGUAAGUCUGACGUGAAAUCCCCGGGCUUAACCUGGGAAUUGCGUUGGAGACUGCAAGGCUGGAGUCUGGCAGAGGGGGGGUAGAAUUCCACGUGUAGCAGUGAAAUGCGUAGAGAUGUGGAGGAACACCGAUGGCGAAGGCAGCCCCCUGGGGUCAAGACUGACGCUCAUGCACGAAAGCGUGGGGAGCGAACAGG
rnacentral:rRNA from 1 species